rnacentral:rRNA from 1 species
UAGGGAAUCUUCGGCAAUGGACGGAAGUCUGACCGAGCAACGCCGCGUGAGUGAAGAAGGUUUUCGGAUCGUAAAGCUCUGUUGUAAGAGAAGAACGAGUGUGAGAGUGGAAAGUUCACACUGUGACGGUAUCUUACCAGAAAGGGACGGCUAACUACGUGCCAGCAGCCGCGGUAAUACGUAGGUCCCGAGCGUUGUCCGGAUUUAUUGGGCGUAAAGCGAGCGCANGCGGUUAGAUAAGUCUGAAGUUAAAGGCUGUGGCUUAACCAUANUACGCUUUGGAAACUGUUUAACUUGAGUGCAAGAGGGGAGAGUGGAAUUCCAUGUGUAGCGGUGAAAUGCGUAGAUAUAUGGAGGAACACCGGUGGCGAAAGCGGCUCUCUGGCUUGUAACUGACGCUGAGGCUCGAAAGCGUGGGGAGCAAACAGGAUUAGAUACCCUGGUAGUCCACGCCGUAAACGAUGAGUGCUAGGUGUUAGACCCUUUCCGGGGUUUAGUGCCGUANCUAACGCAUUAAGCACUCCGCCUGGGGAGUACGACCGCAAGGNUG